GGGCUCCGGGCGGCCGUGACCCUGCUGGAGUGCGGGGGGGACCUCCAGCCCCCCGGGGGGUCCCUGCGCCUCCUCUGCCGAGGGGCCGGGUUCAGUUUCGGCAGUUUCACCAUGUACUGGGUGCGCCAGAGACCUGGGCAGGGGCUGGAGUGGCUCGCAGGGAUCUACAGCAGUGGUUCCAGCACCUACUACGCGCCGUCGGUCAAGGGCCGGUUCACGAUCUCCAGGGACAACGGGCAGAGCUCGGUGACGCUGACCAUGAACAGCCUCAAGGACGAGGAUUCCGGAUCCUAUUUCUGUGCCAAGGAUGCUUAUGCUGCUGCUGGUGGUCGUGCUGAAUAUAUUGAAGAGCGCCGUGGUGGAUCCAUCCCCAUCUCAGUGUCCCCUCCUGUCCCCAAAGCCCCAGACUCUUUUUCCAAAUCUCAGCCCUUGACCCCAUUCUUGACCGCCCCAAACCCCGACUGGUUCCGCCCCAAACCCAACUGA